GCGUGGGUAAAAUUUACAAUUUUAUAUUUACAUUAAAAAAAAAAAUUUAAUAACGAAAUAAUAACUUGUUUUUGAUUUUCACUGUACAUAUAAGAUAAAACUAUUUACAAGGUGUUACAUUACAUGGUGUAGUAUUGGUUGAGAACAGAUAUAGGAAUCUGUUCUCUGAAUGCUUCAACUGUGGUGCAUUGGACAGCAGUAACUGGUAAAAGGUUCCAUUGGACGAUUGUCCUAGGAUAGAAUGAAAAUUUAUAUGAGUCUUUUUUUGCCUGUAUGUGCCUGAAUGAGUGACUGUGAGUGUAUUGUCUUGUUCGACUGUCUGAUGGUAUUAACAGGUUCAUGGGGUAUAUUGCUACUUGGUGGUGUAUAAUUUUAAAGAAAAAUAUAAGCCUUGUUCUUAUUCUUCUAAGUUCAAGUGUUGGCCAGUUAAGAUGGUUAAGCAUGUUUGUCACAGAGCUGGUGUUAUGAUAUCGAUUACAUAUAUACCUGGCUGCACGUCUUUGGACCAUUUCUAUUUGUGAUUUUUGAGAUUUUGUAUGUGGGUCCCAGAUGCAGCUACCAUACUCUAGCUUUGG
rnacentral:lncRNA from 1 species